rnacentral:rRNA from 1 species
UAACACGGGGGGAGCAAGCGUUGUUCGGAAUCACUGGGCGUAAAGGGCGUGUAGGCGGUCAAGUAAGUGGGAUGUGAAAUCCCUCGGCUCACCCGAGGACCUGCAUCCCAAACUGCUUGGCUUGAGUAUGGGAGAGGAUGAGGGAAUUCCUGGUGUAGCGGUGAAAUGCGUAGAUAUCAGGAGGAACACCGGUGGCGAAGGCGCUCAUCUGGCCCAAUACUGACGCUGAGGCGCGAAAGCUAGGGGAGCAAACGGGAUUAGAUACCCCGGUAGUCCUAGCCGUAAACGGUGAUCACUAGGUGUUGGAGGCAUCGACCCCUCCAGUGCCGCAGCUAACGCAUUAAGUGAUCCGCCUGGGGAGUACGGCCGCAAGGUUG